rnacentral:sRNA from 1 species
AUAUAUGCCGAAGACAGUAGGUGCCGCAGGGCGUAAACGUAAGACGACCUACCGAGGGAAUCUUAGUGUUAGCGAUAAUCUAAGAGUGAAUUUUUAACCGACCCUCUCUGUCUUUGCAGAGAGUUUUUUUAUUU